GACGAACGCUGGCGGCGUGCUUAACACAUGCAAUUCGAACGGAAAGGCCCUGCUUUUGUGGGGUGCUCGAGUGGCGAACGGGUGAGUAACACGUGAGUAACCUGCCCUUGACUUUGGGAUAACUUCAGGAAACUGGGGCUAAUACCGGAUAGGAGCUCCUGCUGCAUGGUGGGGGUUGGAAAGUUUCGGCGGUUGGGGAUGGACUCGCGGCUUAUCAGCUUGUUGGUGGGGUAGUGGCUUACCAAGGCUUUGACGGGUAGCCGGCCUGAGAGGGUGACCGGCCACAUUGGGACUGAGAUACGGCCCAGACUCCUACGGGAGGCAGCAGUGGGGAAUAUUGCACAAUGGGCGGAAGCCUGAUGCAGCAACGCCGCGUGCGGGAUGACGGCCUUCGGGUUGUAAACCGCUUUCGCCUGUGACGAAGCGUGAGUGACGGUAAUGGGUAAAGAAGCACCGGCUAACUACGUGCCAGCAGCCGCGGUGAUACGUAGGGUGCGAGCGUUGUCCGGAUUUAUUGGGCGUAAAGGGCUCGUAGGUGGUUGAUCGCGUCGGAAGUGUAAUCUUGGGGCUUAACCCUGAGCGUGCUUUCGAUACGGGUUGACUUGAGGAAGGUAGGGGAGAAUGGAAUUCCUGGUGGAGCGGUGGAAUGCGCAGAUAUCAGGAGGAACACCAGUGGCGAAGGCGGUUCUCUGGGCCUUUCCUGACGCUGAGGAGCGAAAGCGUGGGGAGCGAACAGGCUUAGAUACCCUGGUAGUCCACGCUGUAAACGGUGGGUACUAGGUGUGGGGUCCAUUCCACGGGUUCCGUGCCGUAGCUAACGCUUUAAGUACCCCGCCUGGGGAGUACGGCCGCAAGGCUAAAACUCAAAGGAAUUGACGGGGCCCCGCACAAGCGGCGGAGCAUGCGGAUUAAUUCGAUGCAACGCGUAGAACCUUACCUGGGUUUGACAUGGAUCGGGAGUGCUCAGAGAUGGGUGUGCCUCUUUUGGGGUCGGUUCACAGGUGGUGCAUGCCUGUCGUCAGCUCGUGUCGUGAGAUGUUGGGUUAAGUCCCGCAACGAGCGCAACCCUUGUUCACUGUUGCCAGCACGUUAUGGUGGGGACUCAGUGGAGACCGCCGGGGUCAACUCGGAGGAAGGUGGUGAUGACGUCAAGUCAUCAUGCCCCUUAUGUCCAGGGCUUCACGCAUGCUACAAUGGCUGGUACAGAGAGUGGCGAGCCUGUGAGGGUGAGCGAAUCUCGGAAAGCCGGUCUCAGUUCGGAUUGGGGUCUGCAACUCGACCUCAUGAAGUCGGAGUCGCUAGUAAUCGCAGAUCAGCAACGCUGCGGUGAAUACGUUCCCGGGGCU
rnacentral:rRNA from 1 species